GGGGACGGGGACGACCAACUUGGGUCGCGGCGCAGCCCGGCUCUCCCGAGAGCGCCGAGCCGGGGAGCGCCACCGCCACGGCCAGACGGCGGGAGCGGAGCGAGGCAAGCAGAGGCGGCAAGCGGCUCCCGCGCCGCAGCCCAGGCCUUGGCGAGAGCGCGAAUAUUUUUCAAACGACUCAAACUUUCCUUCUUUCCCCGCGUUCUGGGGUCUCUCUUGGAUGGAAUUGCUCUCCUGAUUGCCGCGGGGCCCUGGGGCGCGAUUCCUCCCCGGGGUUCCUCGGUGGCUCGGCUAACUUCGCGGACCCGUGGACCCGUGACUCUCGCCCCUCCGCGGAGCCUAGCCCGCGCUUCUCCCCUGCUCAGGAGGGCCAGAGCCGGGGCUUUUCGCCUCCGAGAGGACGCCCAGCCCGGCCCCCUUGGGUCGGGCCAUUGAGCCCCCAGCACCGGCCGCAGAACUGGAGACAGCGGAUUAACCCCAGCGGAGCCCCGGCCUCCCCGCCCCAGCUCCGCGGAGGGGCGUCCCCUGGGCGGGGAAACGACAAGUUUGUCAGUCGUCGGUGGCCUGUUGGAUCCAAGCGCCUCCGCCUCCGCAAAGGGGUCCCUGGCGCCCAGAACCCCGAGCGGACAGCCCUGGGAACUCGGAGAGGCUCGGCGGCCGGGCUUCUCGGGCCGGGGCGCUGGCUGCUGCGCCGGGCGCGCCGAGGCACCCGGGGCCGGGCCAGCGCCCCCUGCGUUCCCACGCGGGCAGCGGCCCCGCCGGAGGAGAAACCCGGGUCGCUGCCGCUGCCGCCGCCACCGCCGCCUCCUCAGCCUCCUGAUUUCCGUCGCCGCCGCCGCCGCCCCCUCCGUCGCCUCUCGGGGAAGGGGAAGACGCAAGGGGCAUCGCAGGGCCCCGGCGGAGGCGCCCCCCACCGCCUCUCGGGCUGCGCCGCCUCGCGGGGAUGAAGCACGGGCCGUGAAGAUGGAGGUGACCUGCCUUCUACUUCUGGCGCUGAUCCCCUUCCACUGCCAGGGACAAGGAGUCUACGCUCCAGCCCAGGCUCAGAUCGUGCACGCGGGCCAGGCGUGUGUGGUGAAAGAGGACAACAUCAGUGAGCGCGUCUACACCAUCCGGGAGGGGGACACCUUGGUGCUGCAGUGCCUGGUCACCGGGCACCCUCGGCCCCAGGUGCGUUGGACCAAGACCGCGGGCAGCGCGUCGGACAAGUUCCAGGAGACGUCGGUGUUCAAUGAGACACUGCGCAUUGAGCGCAUCGCGCGCACGCAGGGCGGCCGCUACUACUGCAAGGCCGAGAACGGCGUGGGCGUGCCUGCCAUCAAGUCCAUCCGGGUGGACGUGCAGUACCUGGACGAGCCAGUGCUGACAGUACACCAGACAGUGAGUGAUGUUCGAGGCAACUUCUACCAGGAGAAGACGGUGUUCCUGCGCUGUACGGUCAACUCCAACCCACCUGCCCGCUUCAUCUGGAAGCGGGGCUCGGACACCUUGUCUCACAGCCAGGACAAUGGGGUCGACAUCUAUGAGCCCCUCUACACCCAGGGGGAGACCAAGGUCCUGAAGCUGAAGAACCUGCGGCCCCAGGACUAUGCCAGCUACACCUGCCAGGUGUCUGUACGCAACGUGUGUGGCAUCCCGGACAAGGCCGUCACCUUCCGGCUCACCAACACCACGGCACCACCAGCCCUGAAGCUGUCUGUGAACGAAACUCUGGUGGUGAACCCUGGGGAGAAUGUGACGGUACAGUGUCUGCUGACAGGCGGUGAUCCCCUGCCCCAGCUGCAGUGGUCCCAUGGACCAGGCCCACUGCCCCUGGGUGCCCUGGCCCAGGGUGGCACCCUCAGCAUCCCUUCAGUGCAGGCCCGAGACUCUGGCUACUACAACUGCACAGCCACCAACAAUGUGGGCAACCCUGCCAAGAAGACUGUCAACCUCCUGGUGCGAUCCAUGAAGAACGCCACAUUCCAGAUCACCCCAGAUGUGAUCAAAGAAAGCGAGAACAUACAGCUGGGCCAGGACCUGAAGCUGUCAUGCCAUGUGGAUGCAGUGCCCCAGGAGAAGGUGACCUACCAGUGGUUCAAGAAUGGCAAGCCAGCGCGCAUGUCCAAGAGGCUGCUGUUGACUCGCAAUGACCCUGAGUUGCCCGCUGUCACCAGCAGCCUAGAGCUCAUUGACCUACACUUCAGCGACUACGGCACCUAUCUGUGUGUGGCUUCCUUCCCGGGGGCACCUGUGCCCGACCUGAGCGUCGAGGUCAACAUCUCCUCUGAGACAGUGCCUCCCACCAUCAGCGUGCCCAAGGGCAGGGCCGUGGUGACGGUGCGCGAGGGCUCGCCCGCCGAGCUGCAGUGCGAGGUGCGGGGCAAGCCGCGGCCGCCUGUGCUUUGGUCCCGUGUGGACAAGGACGCUGCGUUGCUGCCCUCGGGGCUGCCCCUCGAGGAGACCUCGGACGGGAAGCUGCGGCUGGAGCGCGUGAGCCGCGACAUGAGUGGGACCUACCGCUGCCAGACGGCUCGCUAUAAUGGCUUCAACGUGCGCCCCCGCGAGGCCCAGGUGCAGCUGAACGUGCAGUUCCCGCCGGAGGUGGAGCCCAGCUCCCAGGACGUGCGCCAGGCACUGGGCCGGCCAGUGCUGCUGCGCUGCUCGCUGCUUCGAGGCAGCCCCCAGCGCAUCUCCUCGGCUGUGUGGCGCUUCAAAGGGCAACUGCUGCCUCCGCCGCCUGCUGUCCCCGUCGCCGCCGAGGCCCCCGACCACUCCGAGCUGCGCCUCGACGCCGUCACCCGCGACAGCAGCGGCAGCUACGAGUGCAGCGUCUCCAACGACGUGGGCUCGGCUGCCUGCCUCUUCCAGGUCUCGGCCAAAGCCUACAGCCCGGAGUUUUACUUCGACACCCCCAACCCCACCCGCAGCCACAAGCUGUCCAAGAAUUACUCCUACGUGCUGCAGUGGACCCAGAGGGAGCCUGACGCUGUCGACCCUCUACUCAACUACAGACUCAGUGUCCGCCAGUUGAAUCAGCAAAACGCCAUGGUGAGGGCCAUCCCGGUGCGGCGUGUGGAGAAGGGGCAGCUGCUGGAGUACAUCCUGACUGACCUCCGAGUGCCCCACAGCUACGAGGUCCGCCUCACGCCCUACACCACUUUCGGGGCUGGAGAUACGGCCUCCCGCAUCAUCCACUACACAGAGCCCAUCAACUCUCCCAAUCUGUCAGACAACACCUGCCACUUUGAGGAUGAGAAGAUCUGCGGCUACACCCAGGACCUGACAGACAACUUUGACUGGACCCGGCAGAAUGCCCUCACCCAGAACCCCAAGCGCUCCCCCAACACUGGUCCCCCCACGGACAUAAGUGGCACCCCUGAGGGCUACUACAUGUUCAUUGAGACAUCAAGGCCCCGGGAGUUGGGGGACCGUGCGAGGUUGGUGAGUCCCCUGUACAACGCCAGCGCCAAGUUCUACUGCGUCUCCUUCUUCUACCACAUGUACGGGAAGCAUAUCGGUGAGUCGAGGGACCAGGCUCCCUCAACCUCCUGGUGCGGUCCCGGAACAGAGGGGCACUGGACACGCACGCCUGGUCCCUCAGUGGCAAUAAGGGCAACGUGUGGCAGCAGGCGCAUGUGCCCAUCAACCCCAGCGGGCCCUUCCAGAUUAUUUUUGAGGGGGUUCGAGGCUCGGGCUACCUGGGGGAUAUCGCCAUAGAUGACGUCACACUGAAGAAGGGAGAGUGUCCCAGGAAGCAGAUGGAUCCCAAUAAAGUGGUGGUGAUGCCGGGCAGUGGAGCCCCCUGGCAGCCCCGCCCACAGCUCUGGGGGCCCGUGGCCAUCUUCCUCUUGGCGUUGCAGAGAUGAUGAGCGCUUCGUGGCCCCCCCACCCCGCCCCCGGCACACCAAAGUGUCCGCAUCGUACCAAAGACUGACCCCAUGCCAGCCGGGGUGCCCAGGGGCAGAGCCGCCCGCCAGUGAGGGGGCCUGCAUUGGCUGUGAGGAUGAGCAGAGAACAAGGACAGCGGCCCAGCACUGAGGCCCCGGAGACGUUUGUUCGACACACGCACACACUCACACACACACAGAUAUAUUAAAGCACAAGUUUCUAUCUGACCUGCCAGCACCUUCUUUGCUGCAGAGACAGGGGACUCGCCUGAAUGGCAUCCACCACCCCAGGGACCUCAGCGCCACGUAGGCCUUGUCCUGGCUGCACCUGUGGUGUGUUUCUGACCUUCCCCUGUCCCUGACUCCAGGCUGAGCUCAGCCCCGUGGCUUUACCAGAAGGAGCCAGAAGGGGAGCAGACACAGGAGCCCUGCCCUUGGCUGGACUCUGGGGCCCCCUGGGAUGGAGGAGGCCAGGGUCAGAGGGGGCCAAGCGGGACUGACUCUGACAUGAGGCAGCAGCUGCACACAACUCUGUUCCCAGAGCGAAGGCCAGAAGCCGGAGAGCCCAGGCCACCCAUAUCCCCGGACCCAUUCAUUCCUGGGAUGUCAUAUCCCCCCCCUCACUGUGCCCACUUCCAAGGGACCUAGCGCAGGGCCUUGGGCCCGGACAGUCUGGAGACUGACCCCUUCCCCACCCUCCCCAUCCCACUGCACCCCACCCCACAAGCAGCUGUAUUCCUGAGAGCACAGCCCCUGCCCUGCUCAGCUGGCCUAACCUCAGCCCCCAGCUGAGCCAGGGGGGAGGGGUGGUGGCCAAGCCAUCUUCUGGGGUGAGGCUGGCCUCUGAGAGGGGCAGAGGAGAAGUCCUGCUUUUAUGAUUUCACGCCCCCAUAUUGGACAUUGAUUUUAGGAGUAGAGUGGAACCUCCAUUUCUUAUAUACUUGCCAUGAAGGGGUGCUCUGGAUGGGGUGUGUGUAGGGGGCUGCCCUGUCCUCCUCCACCGCAAAGCACUGUCUAAUGGGCUGUUCCCUUCCCCGCCCAGGGUCAGUGAAGGAGGAGGGGUUUGUAGAGCUGGGGGUGGUGUGUGGGGCAGUUGCUGGUCACCGUGCUCCCUGGGAGCUGAGCCUUGUGCCCCAAAACUGGGAAAGGGCUCCGUGCCCUUGGUCCUGGGUUGGGAGACUGAGACAGACAUGAUGGGACCUAGACCUCCUCCUCACCAUCAUCCCUGAGCCCCCCUCCUAGCGGUCCAUGGGAGAGAGGAGGCCCAACCCCUUCCAGGGUGAGUCAUCACGCGUGUGUGCAUGUGGCUGUGUGGGUGUGCACGUGUGAGCAUGUGUGGGCCCAUCUGUUGUCUGUGUACCACUGUGGGUAUAUCUCUGGCAGGAGUGUGUGCAAAUAUGUAUCUGCGUGUGCAGUUAUCCAUAUGUGAGGCUGGGUCUAACCCCCGUCUCUUGUGAGUGCCUGCGUAUGUCAGUAUGUCCAUCUUCAUGAGUGACAUGAAUGUUCGUGGAGUGCUGGCCAAAUAUGCCGCUUCAGCCCUACUCUGUAGUCUCAAGCUGCUUGCCACCACCUGAAUUUCUACCUUUUAUCCUCUAUGGGUGACAAAGAGCUUACAGAUGACCCUAUUGAAAUGAAGGCACCUUUGGUGGAGAUGUCACAGGGCUCCUCCUGGAGCAUUUGGUGGGGACAGCUGCAGAGAAGAGGCAGCACUGCAAUGCCAGGAGGCAGGCAGGAAACCAGAGUAAACGCUGCCCAUCUCGGCUCUGCCAGGCUGGUGUUAUCAUCAUCACCAACAGCUGGUGGGUGGCCAGGCCAGGGCUGGAGUGGGGCCUCCUGAUACCCGACCAGCGUGGCUGCCUUCCUGGCCCAGCCAAGGCCUCUGUCCAAAAUGAGUGGCUCCAGGUUCCCAGAACAUGCUGCCAUUUUUCUGCGGGUAUUGUUCCUUAACUGUCCCAUCUGUGCAGGGUCUGUUGUCCCAACUAGACUGUGAGCUCCUCCUCUGAGCCUUCCAACCCUCCCCUGACCCCAUCCCACCCUCAUGCCCAGCACAAGUGGGUCUGUUAUGGAAGUCUCUCAACGGGCUUUGCCUAGCGGAAUGGAUUAUAGAAAUCAGUGGUUCCCAGCCUGGCAGCAGAAUAGAACCGCCAGAGAUUCUUUUAGAAAGCACCAAUGCUUGGGGCCCUCUCCAGAGAUUCCAGUUUAAUUGGACUGGAGUGCAGCCUGGCAUCAGAAAUGUUUAAAAGCUCCUCAGGAGAACCCUAGAGUAGGAACGACUGGCCUAUCACCUGCCAGGUGCUUCCCCCGUGCCCUGGCUGGCGUGGGUGCUGGAGAUCCAGAGCGCUUCCUCCUUGGGGCUCCGUGGUGCCCCAUGCCUACUGCCCCCAGAUGACCUUUGAGUACAUCUGUCCCCUGCUCUGGCUGCUCCGUGAUGGAGACCCUCUCUCCCUCAUUCACCGCCACAUCUGUAGAGCUGGGUACAGAAAAGGGACUCGGCAUAUGUCAGCUGAGCCGAAGCACAUACACGUGGCCCCUGAGUUCUGGUCUGUUCGGAGAGAGGGGACAUGGUUACGUGGACAGAGUGUGCGGGGUGGGGGAGCACCAGGGAGCACUGCCAGAGGGAGGUCGGGGUGGGACCGGGGCAGCCCUGACUCCAGAGUGGCUUGACCUGGGCUAACAAAGUGCCCGAGGGAGCCACUGAGAUCCUUGGUCCUUGCGUGUGUCUGCACGUGCCAGCGGGUCUGCAGUGGAUGUGGGUGUCAGUGUGUGCUGACAUUAACAGUGUGUGAUGUGAGCACCUAGGGGUGUGCUAGCCUGUGUGUGGGGGAGUGUCUGCAAGGAAUGAGCGUCUUUGUGUGUCGCUGGGUGACUCGUGAGUCAGUGUUUGUCUCUGCGUGCCUGUGAGUCAGCACCUCUGUGUCAGUGUCACCUGUGCCACGUGUGUCUUUGUGUGCCAGUGGAUAUCAGCGUCCAUGUGUUGGUAGGUGGCCCAUGAGGACCCCCAGCCCGGGGGAGACCCGCCUGGCUGGAUCCAGUGCAUCUCCCCAGUGGCAGUCUCACCCUCUGGGUCAGGGUGGCUGAGGCAUUUUGUGGCCUUAAAACAGGGAGUCCAGGGUCAGCCCUCAGGGUGUUAGGGUCCUUUACCCCUGUCCCCUCCAGCUUGGUGUCUGGGGGACAAAGGGACUCCUGGGGCCAGGUGCUGUAUAGGUAGGAGACAGGGAGCCUCAGCUUGGCUGUCCUGCCCCUGGAACCAUAGACGGCCACCUGGGGUGCCGAGCUAAGCCUGCAGACCAAGCCCCCUGCUCCAGGGACGCUCCUUCCGCCUCUGCCCUCUCUGGGAUAGCCCUGACUCCUCUUUCUCAUUCACUUUGCCCUCUCCCUAUGCUCAGUGAAAGCCCCUGGCUCAGGCUGUCAGUGCUGGGAUGGACCGUAGAGGUCCAAACUCCUCAUGGUAAGAAUGAGAGUUAAGCCCAGAGAGGGGGAGGGACUUGCCCCAGGUCACACAGCCAGUUAAGGUGGAGCCAGCCUUGGAAGCCAGGUACUACAGUCCUGGGGUUGUCACACCUCUGGCCACUGCUCAUGCCAGGCAGCAAGGAGGAGCUUGGUCAAACAUCCCUGUCUCCGGGUGCUGGUACAGAUGUUACAGAUGUUACUGGGCCCUGCACUGGGAGAGGUACUGUCUCCCUGCCCCCAAUUCUGGCCCUGCAUCCCAGGCCACAGCCCUUCCUGCCCCAGGUCAAGCCUGGGUGCCACAUGGAGGCUGACGCCCUUUGCCCCCACUGGCUAUGGCUGCUGCCCCUCCCCCAGGCUCCCAGAUGAAAGGGACUCUGUUUCCCCUCCCCCCUGCCUUCACAUGAACCUGGGCUGGGAAUGAAGGUCAAUGUGUCCUGGUGUCCUUAUCCUGUUGACUUCCCCCUAAGGACCAGGGGAACCUGGGGGAGCAGGGCUAAUCCUCGUGUUUUCCUCUCUCUGGACAGCUCAAGGGGGACGGGGGUAUUUUCAGGGUCUGUCCUCAGGAAUGGGGUGGGUGAACCUGCUCUGGAGGGUCCCUGUAGGGCCACUGGUUGAGUUUCUGGGUUCAGGGGAGCCCUCCUCAAUUCCAAAGGCAGGAUAGCGCCCCCCUCUCUGUUGAGUCAGUGCUGCUGUGUGCGUGCGUGGAUGAGAGGGUGUGUG